rnacentral:sRNA from 2 species
UGCUAGCCCCGAUGGGAGGGAAUAUCCUUUUUUUUAUACCUGUCAGGUUUUAAAACCUGACAGGUAUAAAAAAAAGAUAGGAAGGACAGCGGGAAUCCCU